CAUCUACUCCCUCCGUCCAGAAAUACUUGUCAUCAAAAUUGAUAAAAGUGGAUGUAACUAGACAUAUUUUAGUAGUAGAUACAUCUAUUUUCAUCCAUUUUGAUGACAUGUAUUUUCAGACGGACGGAGUAUUUA
rfam:Triticum aestivum genome assembly, contig: Triticum_aestivum_CS42_TGACv1_scaffold_195459_3AL